AACGAACGCUGGCGGCAUGCCUAACACAUGCAAGUCGAACGAGACCUUCGGAACUGCUGGCGCACGGGGGCGUAACGCGUGGGAACCUGCCCUUAGGUUCGGAAUAACUCCCCGACAGGGGUGCUAAUACCGGAUAAUGUCUUCGGACCAAAGAUUGAUCGCCUUUGGAUGGGCACGCGUUGUAUUAGCUAGUUGGUAGGGUAAAAGCCUACCAAGGCGACGAUCCAUAGCUGGUCUGAGAGGAUGAUCAGCCACACUGGGACUGAGACACGGCCCAGACUCCUACGGGAGGCAGCAGUGGGGAAUAUUGGACAAUGGGCGAAGUCCUGAUCCAGCAAUGCCGCGUGAGUGAUGAAGGCCGUAGGGUUGUAAAGCUCUUUUACCCGGGAUGAUAAUGACAGUACCGGGAGAAUAAGCUCCGGCUAACUCCGUG
rnacentral:rRNA from 1 species